CCCUUAGAUGUUCUGGGCCGCACGCGCGCUACACUGAUGCAUUCAACGAGUCUAAAACCUGCUCUGAUAGGGGUGGGUAAUCUUUUGAAUGUGCAUCGUGAUUGGGAUAGAUGAUUGCAAUUUUUCAUCUUCAACGAGGAAUGCCUAGUAAACGCAAGUCAUCAGCUUGCAUUGAUUACGUCCCUGCCCUUUGCACACACCGCCCGUCGCUCCUACCGAUUGAAUGAUCCGAUGAAUAUCAUGGAUUGAGGAUGCAAGUAGGUUAGCCUAUCUUCAUCUUCGAGAAGUGAAGUAAAUCUUAUCAUUUAGAGGAAGGAGAAGUCGUAACA
rnacentral:rRNA from 1 species